AUUCCAGCUCCAAUAGCGUAUAUUAAAGUUGCUGCAGUUAAAAAGCUCGUAGUUGGAUUUGUGGCGUGGUCGUCCGGCGGGGCUCCUUCAUUGGGGCCGUUUGUCUGGUUUUUCGACCGCACCAUUCUCGGGUAGUGUGUCGCUGGCAUUAGGUUGUCGGCUUCUUCACGCCCGUCGUUUACUGUGAAAAAAUUAGAGUGUUCAAAGCAGGCUUAGGCCGUUGGAUACAUUAGCAUGGAAUAAUGAGAUAGGGCCACGACGGUCUAUUUUGUUGGUUUGCACGUUGUGGUAAUGAUUAACAGGAACGGUUGGGGGUAUUCGUAUUCAAUUGUCAGAGGUGAAAUUCUUGGAUUUAUGGAAGACGAACUACUGCGAAAGCAUUUACCAAGGAUGUUUUCAUCA
rnacentral:rRNA from 1 species